rnacentral:rRNA from 1 species
UAGGGAAUCUUCGGCAAUGGGGGCAACCCUGACCGAGCAACGCCGCGUGAGUGAAGAAGGUUUUCGGAUCGUAAAGCUCUGUUGUAAGAGAAGAACGUGUGUGAGAGUGGAAAGUUUACACAGUGACGGUAACUUACCAGAAAGGGACGGCUAACUACGUGCCAC